GGGGGCGAUCAGGAUACAAGGUUUCUUGCUAAUACAGUACAUUUCAAAGGUCCUCCUGCCAAGCGUUUAAGCGCUAGUCUCUGGGCAGCAACAGCCCACUCGGCGCGGAGCGGGAGUCUUGAGCGAUUCUGGGUUGGCAGGGCAGGUGGGCUGCGGGGCCGUGGUGGGGGGGGACAGCAGGGCUGGGACCUCCUCCUGCUGCCAGGGCUGUCAGUGAAUGGAGCCAGGACAAACUCCCAGAGAGGCUCCAGAUGGCCCCCGAUCCUGGAGACAGAGAGGGUGGAGGCCGAGGGGAGCACAAAGCUUCCAGAUGCACAGGCAGCUUUUAUUGGGCUGGUGACCAACGUCUCAGGACAGCGACCCCUGGCCCAGUGCGGGGGCACCCCAAGCACUGCCCCCGUGUGUUCUGGCAGAGCAGGGUACCCUGUCCAGGGCCUGACACCCUCAGCAGCCGAGAUCCUGGGCACGCACACCUGUGGGAGGCAGACCCGGCCCUGCCAGAGACUAGGAGGAUGCUGCCGCACUUGGCCACGUGCUGUAGCCCAAACCCGAGGCGGAGGACGUCCCCCCAGGUGCCACCCAGGGACAGCAGCCCUUCCAGGGGGUCCCACAGCCAGGCAGGUGGCUGCACAGGGGGCUGGAGCCUGGGUGCAGGAGGCGCGGCCGAGGGCACUGAGCCGCCUGGGCAAGGCAAGCUCGGCCUGCUCCAGUGCAGGAGGCUGGAGCCCAGCCAGGACAGGGCUGGCCUCCCCUGCCCAGGCUGGGUGCUUGCCACUUCAAGGCCAAGGGCUUCCUCGUCCUGAUGCCACAGGGCCCCUCUCUGCCUGUCCUUCUGUCCCCAAGAAUGCUGCACUUAGGACCUCUAGGCACUUUCUGAGCAGGCACCAGGCAGGCCAGGAUAGGGGCACAAGCUGUGUCCGGUGCUGUGGAAGGCAGUCUGGCCCUGGGCGUGUCCUGGCCGGGGGCGUGUCCCGCCCAGGGGGCGUGUCCCGGUGGGGAGGGGCGUGUCCCCGGAAGGGCCCUGCUGUCCCUGAGCUGCUUGCCCUUCCCUUCCACCCCAGCCUCUUGGGGUACCCAAAAUGGACACAGGUGAGGUACACAGCCCUGCCCCCCAGUGGACAGGUCCCCAGCAGCUGUGGGUCCGAGGAGCCGCGCCCACCCUCAGGCCUGGGUCUCCCGCCCCAGGGAACCUCCUGGACACUGGGCACCCGCCUCAGCCAAGCUGCCAAUCUGCCACACAGGGUUUGAUGCCCACAGUUUGGAGCGCCGUGUUGGCCGGGCCUAGGUCGUGGGGACCAUGGCGGGCAUUUUUAAGUGAAACAAGUGAGCCCCGGUGUCCUCCAGCCCCUGGGCCCAGAGCCCCAAGUCCCCUGGGCAGCUGCCUUGGAACAUGCAGCCUGCAGAGCGCAGGGAUUACCAGGCGCUGGCCGAGGGGCAUCCCAGGGACACUGGCAGUGACUGUGGUCCUGGGCCUCUGCCCUGGAGGAGACUGGAGGCUGAGGGCAGCAGGCAGCACCCAGGGCGAAUUGUGCUUCUUGUGCCGGGCGUUCAGGAACAAGGCUUCGCUUUAGGAGAGUGUGGGGUGGGCCACAGAGAGGCCAUGUCUGCCCCUGUGCCCAAGAGGCAGGAGGGAAGUCUUGGUGUAAAAAUAGGAAAUUCUUCUGACUUCUGCAGAGUCGUGGGCUCAGCCACAGCAGAGGGCGCCCUUGUUGCCGACAGAUGCCACAGGCCAAGCCCUGCAGGAGCCUGGAUGGCCUUGAGCCUGCUGGGCAGCCCUUGUGCGGGCCAUGGGGCUUCCUGCACUGGGCCCCAGGGGGCGCCCUUCCCCUCCCGGCCUCUGUCCUCUGGCAGCGCCCAGAUGUGGCCUUGCAGGGCAGAGGACUCUGGUGGUGUCCAGUCCCCGGCUGUCCCCUCCCGGCCACCCACCCCUUCACCUUGGCCGGUCCUGGUCACGAGUUUCGGCACAGCUGUGAAGACAUGGGUCACAGAUUUGUAAAAACAGCUUAAAAACCACUUCCUGGCAGCCUCCAGGGUAGUGUGGAGACCCCCCUCCGGCCUGCAGCGAGGCCUACCCCCACGGAGCCAUGUCCCAGGAGCCACCAUGAACGGCUGUGGCCAGAGCAGUGCCUGGCCGCCCCUCCUGCAUCCUUGCUGCGGCCCUUCAGGGCCCAGCCCAGGUCCCAGCCUCAGAGCUGGGUCUCGUCACGGUCUCGGGGUUGCAGGAGGACAGUUUGUUGCUGCAGCUGCUCUUGUGGCUCGGGGAGCUGCUGGCCAUGUGGGCCAGGGGGUCGGAGCGGAUGAGGUACCUGUGGAGCAAGCCAGGCCCUGGAGCAGCAGCACCUCUGCCCGCGCUGGCCCAGGCCUGGCCGCCCACACCCAGCUGAGAGUCUGUGCACUUGCACUCACACAAUGUCGUUGGGCUCCAGCCGCGUGUCGGGUGGAGGGUUGAUGAGGACGUAGGACAGCGUGUUCUGCUGAUCGUUCAUCUCAUCUGCAAAGGACGCAGCCGGGCAGCAUCACCGCCUGCCCCGUCCACGGCGGGCACCGGAGCCAGGGCAGCAGGGCUCUUCCCAGCCAGCCUGCCACACCUGUCCCUCGGCCCUUGCUGCCCUGGACGGGUCAGCCGCCAUCCAGCCUGCGGCCCACCCAGCCCAGGCAGCCAGCAGGGGCGCUGCCGCAGGGUGGGCCUGACCAGAGGCAAGGAGCAGGCCUGCACGCCCCGCACACAUCGGCACGGCCGCACGCUGCAGACACAGCUCCCCUGCGCACACCUGUGCACCUUCACAUACAGUGCCCCAGCCUUCCUGGCGCCCUGCAGUGGCACUGUCCCCAGGCUCGGGCCUUUGUUGAGGACCCUGGUCCCGAGCGGCCCUCAGCCCAGGGCACUCACUGAGCUCAUGGCUCCAAGAACAGGACUCUCUUGCGGGGCCUGUGCCCGGCCUGCAGGGUGGCCGUGGUGCUGCCCACAGGCCGAGGAUGGCUUCGGAGGAGCUCUGGUCACCUCUCCAGACAUCUGCACUCGGCCAGCAGGGGACCCUGGGGACCCAGGGACAGAGGUGUGGCCUUGAGCCCACUGGCCUCGGCUUUACCCGCAUGCUAUCUAAGGCAAAAGGACAUCCUCUUCUCUGACCCCUCCAGCUUCAGUCCCCUGCAUGUCCUCGCCCCGGGGACUGUGCUGCCAUGCAGCCCUGGGGGCCAGGAUCUCUGCAAGGCCGAGGAAGCUGUGGCUGCCUGCCAGGUGGGCUGCGCCCCCUCCUCCUGGUCUGUCAGGGGUGUGGCUUCUGGUGCUGGGGUCUCGGAGAGCCUGGGUGGGUCAGCUGGAGCCAGCGUCCCUCCCUGACUGGGAGAGUUGGCCUGACCAUCCUGCUUCUCCGCAGCACGGGGUCUCCUUCUGUCCUCCAUGCACAGCGACUCUGGCCACAGCCAGGUUUCCUCAGGGCCUUCGCUGGCCCCCCAUGUGGGAGGUGUGGGCCCCAGGACUGUGAGCCCCAUGCAGCCCUGUACUCAGACUGCAGCCACUGGCAGGGCACCAUGCUGCAACAGGCACACAGCUGGGGCCAUGGAAAUGAGGACCACCAGUGUGCCCAGCCCCCCGUGUGCCCAUCAGCCUGCGCCCUUGAGGACAAGCCAGGGCAUUUCCAGGACUGGCACAGCACGUGUGCUGAAGGCUGGGCUGGCUAGAGUUCUGUGCUGUGCCUGAGGGCCAGCCCUGUCCACGCCCGGGGCAGGCAGGGGCGGGGCUGGCCCAGCUCUGGGGAACAGCACCCACUGGACCCCUGUGCCUGCACCCGCGCGCCCAGCCCACCAGGCUCUUCUCACCGCUUCAAGCUCCUGCCUCCCCAGGCGGGGGACUCACCCACCCUGGGCAUCCAGUCCCCACCCAGCCACCUGUCCUGUGAUGGAUGCUUUGCUCCCACUUCUGCCUCAUCUGCACAGAGGCCUGACAGUGAGGCCCACCCUGUAGGCCCCCUCCAGCAGGACUGACUCCCCUGCUUUCUGUCCUGGCCCAGGCACCAGCAGCCAUCUGCUCAUGGCGUGCUGCUACAGCCGCCCAACCUGGACCCCAGCACCUCCCCUAUGCAAGUACACAGGCAGUGCCCAGGAGACACCGUGUGCAGACACUUGAGCCUGGUGCCCUCAAGGCCCACAGCUGCCCACCCCUUCCCAGGAGCUGUGGGGAUGUGGCACAGCCAGGCACGAGGGAGCGCCAGUCCGUGGAAGCCGCCGAUGCUGGGCUGAGCCCCAGUGCCCAGCAGAGGGUGCUCUGCCAUGAGCCAGGCUGUGGGGCGAGCAAGGGGCAAGAGCAGGGAGCAGCUGCUGAGCUUCACCCUGUGGCCGCCCACAGGCCCUGGCAGAUGGCACCACCUGAGCAGCACCUGCCUUCUCACCCCGUAAGGCCCCAGAGCCCUUGGGCUGCCAGGAGCGCAGGCCUGGACUCUCCCACUGAGCUCCAGGGCCUGGAGGUGCGCCAGGGUCUGCAGCAUCUCCCCGGAGAAAGUGGGGCACAGUGGGGCACCCAGGAAGAGUGAGGCAUAGGCCAGCUUUGUCUCAGCAAACAGAAUCCUGCCCCCGAGGCCCCAGUGGGGAGUGGGUGCCUCGUCCACCUAGCUCAGCCCCCAGAUCCUGCACUCACACCCGGGGCGUUCCAGCCUGGGCUUCCCGCAGCUAUGCCAUGGGGUCGGGGACACAGGUCCCCCACCAGGGCCAGGCAGAGGCCAGGCUCCCCUGCAGCAGGGCGGAAGGGCUCGGGCCGGUGGGCACAUACCACACACGAGGUCCAGCAGGGGUGCCCAAGCUGCCUGACCGGGAGGAGGGGCCGCCUCCUCUCAUCUCUCCUGCCGCUCACUGCCUGGCCGCUGGGGCGGCACAGCUGGCGCAUCCCCGUGCAGCAGUCUGUCUGCCAGGGCAGAAUUACCUUGCAAAUAUCCCAGGUUUACCCGAUUCAUGACAUCACUGGCUGUUAAAUUUGCUACGUCCCUCUAAGAACACACAGGAGAGGCACAGACAGAGACAGAGAGAGAGGAGAGAGGUCAGCAAGCCACGUGGCGGGGCACAGGCCAGCUGUGCAGGAGGUUGUCCACACCCCGGGGUGGCCAGCGACAGCUGCUUGGGAAAGCUCACUCAGCUGCCAAAAGGAAGGGGCUGCUCUGCGAGCUCUGUGCGUGACAGGGGUGCAGGGGGUGCGGGGCAGGCACUGGUGCUGGGGUGGCUGGGCCGGGCUGGACUCUCCAUCUGCCGCGUCCGAGCUCAGGGCCCGCUCCGAGUGGCCUUGGUGGCCGGUCCCUGGGAGAGGGCAGGGACCCUGAGAGACACUGACUCGGGCAUGGCAGGGAUGUGGCUCGGGAGGCCCUGUGGGUCACCCUUAGAGGAGCCCUCCACCCCGGCACCCAGCAUGCCAGGCCUCUGGGGCCCCAGCGAGGGCCCGGCCCACGUGGCAGACCCAGGAAGCAGACGGCUGAUCCAUAGCUGGGCCUGCCUUGGAACCCGAGGGAGGCCAGGCCAGAGGGUGGACGUGGGGGACAGUGGCGCAGGCCCCUGUGUCCCCAUCGGUGAAGGGAGCAGCUCCACAGGAAGCAGAGGGACAGGCUCCUGCCACCUGGGCACAGGCCAGUCAUGCAUGUCCCUGAGCAAGGCCAGGGAGGCCACACAGAGGGCGUCUGCCGCCAAAGAGAGGCAGCCGUGCCCUGAAAGGCAGUGGGCAGAGGGGGUCCUGCUGGGGCUCUGCCUGUCCCUGUGAUGGAGACCCCAUGCUGCGGACCCUGCAGGCAGGUUGGUCUGUGCCUGGUGGGGGCCUUGGGCAUGGCCUCCCUAGGCUGCAGGCUCCGGCGCCCCUGGCUAUACAGACAGGGACACCGAGGCAGGCCCAGAGCAGCAGAGAGCGCAGUCACGGAGCCCACGCUGCCCUCCGCCAGCCCCGCAGGGCCAGGCGGCAUGGUCACAGAAAGGCACCAGGGCGUGGCUGGAGGCAGCGCUCACCAUAGCCGUGGUGGGCAGCCCCAGGUGCUUCAUGCGGUUCUUGACCAGCCUGGAGAGCUCCUGGCGCUCGGAGUGCGGCACAGGCUGCCCGCUGCUGGC
ensembl:lncRNA